AGGAACCUGCCCUGUAGACCGGAAUAGCCAUGGGAAACCGUGGCUAAUGCCGGAUAUUCUCACCGCUCCGCAUGGUGCAGUGAGGAAAUGGUCAGCCGCUACAGGAUGGCCUCGCGGCCUAUCAGCUAGUUGGUGGGGUAACGGCCUACCAAGGCGACGACGGGUAGCUGGCGUGAGAGCGCGAACAGCCACACUGGGACUGAGACACGGCCCAGACUCCUACGGGAGGCAGCAGUGGGGAAUCUUGCGCAAUGGGCGAAAGCCUGACGCAGCGACGCCGCGUGCGGGAAGAAGGCCUUCGGGUUGUAAACCGCUUUCAGGAGGGAAGAAGCGAAAGUGACGGUACCUGCAGAAGAAGGACCGGCCAACUACGUGCCAGCAGCCGCGGUAAUACGUAGGGUGCAAGCGUUGUCCGGAAUUAUUGGGCGUAAAGAGCUCGUAGGCGGUCUGUCGCGUCUGGUGUGAAAUCUCAUGGCUCAACUGUGAGCUUGCAUUCGAUACUGGCAGACUUGAGUGCUGUAGGGGAAAGUGGAAUUCCUGGUGUAGCGGUGAAAUGCGCAGAUAUCAGGAGGAACACCGGUGGCGAAGGCAGGCCUCUGGGCCUUUACUGACGCUGAGGAGCGAAAGCAUGGGGAGCAAUGGGAAUAGAUAUACCCCAUUAUUCAAGGGCAAAUCUCCG
rnacentral:rRNA from 1 species